UGAUCAGACAGGCAUGUCUAUAUCCAGAUG
rnacentral:piRNA from 1 species